rnacentral:rRNA from 1 species
ACGGGUGAGUAAUAUAUAGCUAAUCUGCCUCUUAGUAGAGGAUAACAGUCGGAAACGAUUGCUAAUACUCUAUACUUCUGCUUUACAUAAGUAAAGUAGAGAAAGUUUUUCGCUAAGAGAUGAGGCUAUACUGUAUCAGCUAGUUGGUAAGGUAACGGCUUACCAAGGCUAUGACGCAUAACUGGUCUGAGAGGAUGAUCAGUCACAUUGGAACUGAGACACGGUCCAAACUCCUACGGGAGGCAGCAGUAGGGAAUAUUGCGCAAUGGGGGAAACCCUGACGCAGCAACGCCGCGUGGAGGAUGACACUUUUCGGAGCGUAAACUCCUUUUAUCGGGAAAGAAUAAUGACGGUACCCGAUGAAUAAGCACCGGCUAACUCCGUGCCAGCAGCCGCGGUAAUACGGAGGGUGCAAGCGUUACUCGGAAUCACUGGGCGUAAAGGGUGCGUAGGUGGAUUAUCAAGUCUCUUGUGAAAUCUAAUAGCUUAACUAUUAAAUUGCUUGGGAAACUGAUAGUCUAGAGUAGGGGAGAGGCAGAUGGAACUCUUGGUGUAGGAGUAAAAUCCGUAGAUAUCAAGAAGAAUACCUAUUGCGAAAGCGAUCUGCUAGAACCUAACUGACACUGAUGCACGAAAGCGUGGGG